rnacentral:lncRNA from 1 species
UAUGUAUAUAUGUUUUUUUUUUUUGAUUUCUUACUACAGUUUUGAUUUAUUAAAUUUAAAAGUUUGUUUUAACGAAUUAUUGAUAUAUAUAUGUUUUCUCGGUAAGAUUAUUUUAAGACGUACUAUAAAUUACGUCAGACAAAAUCUUAAAAAUGCUCACGUCAAUGUCGAUGGUGCAGUAUUCCUCGCAUCCUACUACAGAGAGGAUCAAUGAAAACAAGUUUAGUUUGCGUGAUGUACACUCGUAACCGGUAGCAUUCCGUGUAUUGGUCGCAUUAAACUGUAGCCUAACUAAUUAUUCUAACGUUAUCUCUUAGGUAUGUCUAUUGAGACCAGGUUUUUCUCGUCUUGCUUUCGUUUCGAUGCAAGAAUUAAUAACCAUCGACCGUAGGAGGAAAGAGAGAGGGAUCGGUUCCAUCAACCGUAGUCAUGGCAACCAGCGGUUUCUAUCUCUUUCUGCCUCACCAUCUCUAGCGGAAGUGAAGAGUGGUUUAAUCUGCUCUGGGGUAACUCCCCUUUUGCUCUUCUUUGGUAGUUGUAGAGUUAGUUUAGAGAUGCUCUACAAGCAAAAGUUUUCUUAAAAGUCUUUCUCGAGUAAAUACUAAAUCUAUGUUUGCUUUUAAAAUGUUUUCACUGCUAAACGAUCGUUCAGUUCAGAAAUAUCUAUUCAUUUUCGAAGUAAUAAUGCAAUAUAAUAAUAAUUCAGAUUAAGAAGAAGAAAAUAUUAUCGACAACAGUAAUAUCACG